rnacentral:rRNA from 1 species
UACGGAGGGUGCGAGCGUUGUUCGGAAUCACUGGGCGUAAAGGGCGUGUAGGCGGUCCGCUAAGUCUGAUGUGAAAGCCCGGGGCUCACCCCCGGAAGUGCAUUGGAAACUGGCGGACGCGAGUCCCGGAGAGGGGAGUGGAAUUCCUGGUGUAGCGGUGAAAUGCGUAGAUAUCGAGGAGGAACACCGGUGGCGAAGGCGGCGUCGUCUGGACGGUGACUGACGCU